UACGUAGGGGGCUAGCGUUGUCCGGAAUCAUUGGGCGUAAAGAGCGCGUAGGCGGCUAGAUAAGUCCGGUGUGAAAGUCACAGGCUCAACCUGUGAAUGCCGCUGGAAACUGUCUGGCUAGAGUCCGGAAGGGGCGAGUGGAAUUCCUGGUGUAGCGGUGAAAUGCGCAGAUAUCAGGAGGAACACCAAUGGCGAAGGCAGCUCGCUGGGACGGUACUGACGCUGAGACGACGAAGCGUGGGGAGCGAACAGG
rnacentral:rRNA from 1 species